rnacentral:tRNA from 1 species
GGAUGGAUGACCGAGUGGUUUAAGGAGCCGGUCUUGAAAACCGGUGUGGGGCAACCCACCGAGGGUUCGAAUCCCUCUCCAUCCGCCA